rnacentral:rRNA from 1 species
AGAGUUUGAUCCUGGCUCAGGAUGAACGCUAGCUACAGGCUUAACACAUGCAAGUCGAGGGGCAGCAUUUUUCUAGCAAUAGAAGAGAUGGCGACCGGCGCACGGGUGAGUAACACGUAUCCAACCUGCCGAUAACUCGGGGAUAGCCUUUCGAAAGAAAGAUUAAUAUCCGAUAGUAUAUUAAAACCGCAUGGUUUUACUAUUAAAGAAUUUCGGUUAUCGAUGGGGAUGCGUUCCAUUAGUUUGUUGGCGGGGUAACGGCCCACCAAGACUACGAUGGAUAGGGGUUCUGAGAGGAAGGUCCCCCACAUUGGAACUGAGACACGGUCCAAACUCCUACGGGAGGCAGCAGUGAGGAAUAUUGGUCAAUGGGCGCAGGCCUGAACCAGCCAAGUAGCGUGAAGGAUGACUGCCCUAUGGGUUGUAAACUUCUUUUAUAAAGGAAUAAAGUCGGGUAUGCAUACCCGUUUGCAUGUACUUUAUGAAUAAGGAUCGGCUAACUCCGUGCCAGCAGCCGCGGUAAUACGGAGGAUCCGAGCGUUAUCCGGAUUUAUUGGGUUUAAAGGGAGCGUAGGUGGAUUGUUAAGUCAGUUGUGAAAGUUUGCGGCUCAACCGUAAAAUUGCAGUUGAAACUGGCAGUCUUGAGUACAGUAGAGGUGGGCGGAAUUCGUGGUGUAGCGGUGAAAUGCUUAGAUAUCACGAAGAACUCCGAUUGCGAAGGCAGCUCACUAGACUGUUACUGACACUGAUGCUCGAAAGUGUGGGUAUCAAACAGGAUUAGAUACCCUGGUAGUCCACACAGUAAACGAUGAAUACUCGCUGUUUGCGAUAUACAGUAAGCGGCCAAGCGAAAGCGUUAAGUAUUCCACCUGGGGAGUACGCCGGCAACGGUGAAACUCAAAGGAAUUGACGGGGGCCC